GAGGUUAUAGCUCAGUGGCAGAGUGUGUGCCUACCAUGCACAAGGUCCUGGGUUCAACCCCCAGGACCCCCA
rfam:Camelus ferus unplaced genomic scaffold scaffold63, whole genome shotgun sequence.